UGGCGCGUAGCUCAGCGGUGAGAGCGGCGUCCUUAUAAGACGCAGGCCGAGGGUUCAACUCCCUCCGCGCCGA
rnacentral:tRNA from 1 species